rnacentral:rRNA from 1 species
GAUGAACGCUAGCUACAGGCUUAACACAUGCAAGUCGAGGGGAAACGACAUUGAUAGCUUGCUUUUGAUGGUCGUCGACCGGCGCACGGGUGAUUAACGCGUUUCCCACCUGCUCAUCACUUGCGAAUAACCUUGCGAAUGUAAGACUAAUACCCAAUGAUAUCCCACGAAGUCAUCGGAAUGGGAUUAAAGAUUUAUCGGUGAUCGAUGUGGAUGCGUCUGAUUAGCUUGUUGGCUGGGUAACGGCCCACCAAGGCAACGAACAGUAGGGGUUCUGAGAGGAAGGGCCCAGAGAGUGGAACGGAGACACGGUACAAAGUCAUACGGGAGGCAGCAGUGAGGAAUAGUAGUGAAUGAGAGAGAGCAUGAACCAGAAAAGUAGCGUGCAGGAAGAGGGCGCUAGGGGUUGUAAACUGCUUUGAUAAGGGAAUAAAGUGGGGAACGUGUGAAUUUUUGAAUGUACCUUAUGAAUAAGGACCGGCUAAUUCCGUG